UCGAGCGGAUGAGUGGAGCUUGCUCCAUGAUUCAGCGGCGGACGGGUGAGUAAUGCCUAGGAAUCUGCCUGGUAGUGGGGGAUAACGUUUCGAAAGGAACGCUAAUACCGCAUACGUCCUACGGGAGAAAGUGGGGGAUCUUCGGACCUCACGCUAUCAGAUGAGCCUAGGUCGGAUUAGCUAGUUGGUGGGGUAAUGGCCCACCAAGGCGACGAUCCGUAACUGGUCUGAGAGGAUGAUCAGUCACACUGGAACUGAGACACGGUCCAGACUAAUACGGGAGGCAGCAGUGGGGAAUAUUGGACAAUGGGCGAAAGCCUGAUCCAGCCAUGCCGCGUGUGUGAAGAAGGUCUUCGGAUUGUAAAGCACUUUAAGUUGGGAGGAAGGGCAGUAAGUUAAUACCUUGCUGUUUUGACGUUACCAACAGAAUAAGCACCGGCUAACUUCGUGCCAGCAGCCGCGGUAAUACGAAGGGUGCAAGCGUUAAUCGGAAUUACUGGGCGUAAAGCGCGCGUAGGUGGUUCAGCAAGUUGGAUGUGAAAGCCCCGGGCUCAACCUGGGAAUUGCAUCCAAAACUACUGAGCUAGAGUACGGUAGAGGGUGGUGGAAUUUCCUGUGUAGCGGUGAAAUGCGUAGAUAUAGGAAGGAACA
rnacentral:rRNA from 1 species